rnacentral:rRNA from 1 species
GACAGAGGUCCCGAGCGUUAGGCGGAAUCACUGGGCUUAAAGCGUGUGUAGGCGGAGUUCUAAGUACCUUGUGAAAUCCCACGGCUUAACCGUGGAACUGCUUGGUAUACUGGUUCUCUUGGGCCACUUAGGGGCUACCGGAACAAACGGUGGAGCGGUGAAAUGCGUAGAUAUCGUUUGGAACGCCAAUGGUGAAAACAGGUAGCUGGGAGUGUGCCGACGCUGAGACACGAAAGCCAGGGGAGCGAACGGG